rnacentral:lncRNA from 15 species
AUGUUUGUGUCAUGGUUUCUUGUAUUUUUGUGUAUUUUGUUCUUUUUCCUUCAUAUUACUGCUUCUAAUCUCAAGGAAAUGGCGUGGCUCCUUCACUGCGAGAAGGUUGAUGAAAAUUAUCCAGAGUGGGUUGCAGCCUCGUAUUCUCCGCGGAGCAGAGUGGAGAGACACUUCUCGGAUGCGCCACUGCACUGGAAUUCCUCUCUUGAUAGAACAGAAACAAAACAUAAAAGUCUGUAUUUAUAUUAUCAGUGUUUACUCAUGCAGUGAAUCAGUGUUAAUGAACACGUGACAGACUGCAGGUUGAACAUGCACCCUGACUUCCACUUGUGUGUCCUCGUGUAGCUGCAGAGAUGAACAACAUGUCCUCACUGCUAACAGAAACAAACAGAAAUUCACAGAAGAACAAAGAGAGAAAACAUGGAGGGAUUCUCUCAUCCGUCCACACCCGCAGCCUGACAUUUCUCUUCUGUCCAGACACAGCUGCUCAGAUCACACACACACACACACACACACACACACUGAUUUUAGAUAGCAUCACGCCCCUAAUUUCCCAUGGUGCAUUGUAAACAGAACACACCCGUCCGCCUGUGGCAGCACUUCAGACAACACACACACUCUUUUAAACAUUGACAUAUACAGUAACACACACACACACACACACACACAGCUGAUGCUCAUCCAGACGCUGCUUCCUGAUGCAAAGGCUCAUGGGAAUCAUGCAGUUUUAUGACCACAAUGCUUUUGGAGAGGUGAAGUCUGGUGUCUGACCAUAAAGUGUUUUUAUCACAUACAUCACCGAUAUGCCAGUAUCUGGUCCAACAGUGACAGACGAGUCCGUUUUUACGUAUUUUGGGGUGUUUGGGGUAUAUUCUUAAUAUUUACACAUUUACACUUAAAAAAAAAAUCUAUUUUAUUCUAUUUUAUUCUAUUUUAUUCUGUUGUAUUAAUAUGAAAAGAUACAAACAUUUCCAUUGUUUGAGUACAUUUCUACAGGAGAUCCCAAAGUUUCCAAAAAUACCAAACAACAUCUGAGUUUCUGUAUGAGGUCAAAGUGCACGAGGUCAGCGUCUUGCUCGAGGACACAUCGGUGGGACAAAACCUGACCGCCACCGGAGAGAGGGAGAGAGAGGAGAGAGGAGAGGGGGGGAGAGAGGAGAGAGAGAGAGAGAGAGAGAGGAGGGAGAGAGAGGAGGGGAGAGAGNNNNNNNNNNNNNNNNNNNNGAGAGGGGAGAGAGAGAGGGAGGUCAGGAAAAUCAUUUCACACUCGGAGGGAAAAUGGAAAGCAGGAGACAGUAAAAUAAAAUCCAGAUCUGCUUUAAAGUUUAUUUCUCCAGAGAGAGAUGGCCAAGCUCCACACACUCACACACACACACACACACACACACACACACACACACACACACACACAGAGAUAAAAAAAAAGGUUGUAGGCUCAGUUUCAGAGGAAAAUACGUGUGUGUCUAUACUGUACAUAUAUAUAAAAUGAACCACCAACACUGGAAUGACACUGUGAUUUAUUUAGGAGUGAAUGUCGUGUUUGGCCUUCAGCUUCCUCGUGUUCACUCAGCAACCGGAACACCCACAGGUGAGUCAAAUAGGGGGGGUUAGGUUUGGGGGUUUUCUUAUUUCAAAGUGUUUUAUAUAUUUUACAAAGGUGAAAGCAUAUCAAAAAACAUUCUAUUACUCAAAAUACACAACCAUAAAACACAACUUUAUUUGGGUGAAACUGGAUCAUAUUUUAUGGAGAGAAUAUUGCUAAUGUAGUUGCUGUUAGCUAACUGCUAAUGUAGCAGCACAGAACAGGGCUCAGCAACCUCUGAGACAGACAGUGGACAGUGUGACAACAUUGGAGACCCACACACGGUAGCUUGAAUACAGUUUUAAAGCGAAUAGAUAGCAACAGAUAGCUGUUAAGAAUGGCUCAUUGCUCUCAAGGUCGCAGACAAUGCAAAAGGAGGAUACCUCAAGUCUGACCUCAGUACUUUUUGUAGAUAAAUGACUUCAUUAAAAACACAAUGAGAUGAACAUGAUGAAUAUGUCAUCAUAUUAAUCUUUUCUCUGGUCUUUAUUUGCAUAUUUGGUGUUGAGGUAAUCAAGUAACAGAAAAUAAUCAUAUAUAUAUUUCUAUAAACAGAAAAUAUGGUGGUGAAAACAACAACUCCCAUGAUCCCACGCUCCUUCACCACCUCAUCAUUUCUCUUGUUGUUGAAGAAUAAGAAGAAGAUAUACUUUAUUGAUCCCCUAGGGGAAAUUGUUCUUUUCACUCUUUUUUAAACACACACACACACACACACACACACACACACACACACACACACACACACACACACACACACACACACACACACACACACACACACACACACACAGGAGAGAGAUGGUGGAGUGAUGGGGCUGCAAUGUUAAUCGCACCGGUGAGCAGGUUUGUUUGGGGUUAGGUUGCCUUGCUCAAGGGCACCUCGGCAGUGCACAGGAGGUGAAACUGGCACCUCUCCAGCUACCAGUCCACACUCCAUAUUUUGUGGUCUGUGGGAGUUGAACCGGCGACCCUCUGGUUCCCAAGCCAAGUCACUACACACUGUGCUACUGCCGCCCCAAUGUUGUUUGGAUGUUAGAGUCCCCCUAGUGGCAGAAAUUACACAUUGUGUCUUUAAAUCACUUUGAAUUGCUUAUAAGAUGCCAUAUAAAUAAAGUUUGAUUGAUUGACGCACACACACACACACACACACACACACACACACAAUAACGCGUCUUACGUUACGUGGUAGGUAAGUAAGGUAGG